GGGCUACAACCACCGCCAACGCGUGUGCACUAUGCACGCGGGAGUAAUUUUUGUGUACAUUUUUUGAGAUUUCGGGUUUAGAUUAAAAAAAAUGGACUUUACUUCUAAUACCGAGAUCCUCUUUGCCACUGGGUGUCCAAGCAGUGACGUGCAAUGAGAACGGGGGGGCCACUGCUUCUCCGUAA